CUUACACAUGCAAGUCGAGGGGUAACGAUUGCUUCGGCCAUGCGACGACCGGCGCACGGGUGAGUAUCGCGUAUGUAACCUACCUUUAACUGGAAGAUAGCCCGAAGAAAUUCGGAUUAAUAUUCCAUAAUACCAUAGUUUGGCAUCAUUUUAUAGUUAAAGCUCCGGCGGUUAAAGAUGGGCAUGCGUAACAUUAGCUAGUUGGUGAGGUAACUGCUCACCAAUGCUACGAUGUUUAGGGGGUCUGAGAGGAUGGUCCCCCACACUGGUACUGAGACACGGACCAGACUCCUACGGGAGGCAGCAGUGAGGAAUAUUGGUCAAUGGGCGAAAGCCUGAACCAGCCAUGCCGCGUGAAGGAUGACGGCCCUAUGGGUUGUAAACUUCUUUUAUACGGGAAGAAACCGUCCUACGUGUAGGGCGUUGACGGUACCGUACGAAUAAGCAUCGGCUAACUCCGUGCCAGCAGCCGCGGUAAUACGGAGGAUGCAAGCGUUAUCCGGAUUUAUUGGGUUUAAAGGGUGCGUAGGCGGAAAUUUAAGUCAGUGAUGAAAUCCUGCGGCUCAACCGUAGAACUGUUAUUGAUACUGAAUUUCUUGAAUACAGUUGAGGUAGGCGGAAUGAGUAAUGUAGCGGUGAAAUGCUUAGAUAUUACUCAGAACACCGAUUGCGAAGGCAGCUUACUUAAACUGAUAUUGACGCUGAGGCACGAAAGCGUGGGGAGCGAACAGGAUU
rnacentral:rRNA from 1 species